AGACAGCAGCCGCCACGGUAACACAGAGGGUGCGAGCGUUAAUCGGAUUUACUGGGCGUAAAGCGUGCGUAGGCGGCUUUUUAAGUCGGAUGUGAAAUCCCUGAGCUUAACUUAGGAAUUGCAUUCGAUACUGGGAAGCUAGAGUAUGGGAGAGGAUGGUAGAAUUCCAGGUGUAGCGGUGAAAUGCGUAGAGAUCUGGAGGAAUUCCGAUGGCGAAGGCAGCCAUCUGGCCUAAUACUGACGCUGAGGUACGAAAGCAUGGGGAGCAAACAGGAUUAGAUACCCCUGUAGUCCCUGUCUCUUAUAC
rnacentral:rRNA from 1 species